UCCAAAUAACCCCUGGAAAUGAUCUGUCUGUGUUGCUCCCCUCUGGCAAGAGGCUGCGGUCCAUCAGGACCAAAACAAAUCGACACUAAAAGCAGUUUUUUCCUUGCUGCAGCUGAUCUAUUCAACAAGAGAAGGAAAAAAGUUGCCCCUUCAAUAACCUGAUCCAGGUGUUUGAGGGUCACACAUUCCUGUGUGUCAAAGGUCAAGAAAAAGCAGGGUUACAUCACUUUCCACAUAGAUGAUAAUCCAUGCAGUGAACAUGCAGGAGGAUGCAGUGCCAGCUCUCAUGAUUCUGAAGAGCGAGUUGACGUUAUUGCUUUUGAUGGCGUCUCGGCAGGCG